CUGGAUACGAGUAGCGGCCGCAUGGUCAGUUACUGGAAAGAUUUUUUGGUUGGGGAUGGGCUCGCGGCCUAUCAGCUUGUUGGUGAGGUAAUGGCUCACCAAGGCGUCGACGGGUAGCCGGCCUGAGAGGGUGACCGGCCACACUGGGACUGAGACACGGCCCAGACUCCUACGGGAGGCAGCAGUGGGGAAUAUUGCACAAUGGGCGGAAGCCUGAUGCAGCAACGCCGCGUGAGGGAUGACGGCCUUCGGGUUGUAAACCUCUUUUAGCAGGGAAGAAGCGAAAGUGACGGUACCUGCAGAAAAAGCGCCGGCUAACUACGUGCCAGCAGCCGCGGUAAUACGUAGGGCGCAAGCGUUAUCCGGAAUUAUUGGGCGUAAAGAGCUCGUAGGCGGUUUGUCGCGUCUGCUGUGAAAUCCCGAGGCUCAACCUCGGGCCUGCAGUGGGUACGGGCAGACUAGAGUGCGGUAGGGGAGAUUGGAAUUCCUGGUGUAGCGGUGGAAUGCGCAGAUAUCAGGAGGAACACCGAUGGCGAAGGCAGAUCUCUGGGCCGUAACUGACGCUGAGGAGCGAAAGGGUGGGGAGCAAACAGGCUUAGAUACCCUGGUAGUCCACCCCG
rnacentral:rRNA from 1 species